GGUCCCUAACGAUUGCGAACACCUGAAUGAAGCCAAAGGCGGGUCCGGAAGGCUUCAUUUGGUGACCCCGACGUGAUAGUUAGGGAAU
rfam:Callipepla squamata strain Texas jcf7180005168289, whole genome shotgun sequence.